AUUGAACGCUGGCGGCAGGCCUAACACAUGCAAGUCGAGCGAGCGGCGGACGGGUGAGUAAUGUAUGGGGACUGCCCGAUAGAGGGGGAUAACUACUGGACACGGCAGCUAAUACAGCAUACUAUCGGAUAACCCAUAUGGGAUUAGCUAGUAGGUGAGGUAAUGGCUCACCUAGGCGACGAUCCCUAGCUGGUCUGAGAGGAUGGUCAGCCACACGGGGACUGGGACACGGACCAGACUACUACGGAGGCAGCAGUGUGGAAUAUUGCACAAUGGGCGCAAGCCUGAUGCAGCCAGGCCACGUGUAUGAAGAAGGCCCUAGGGUUGUAAAGGAUGUUCAGUCGGGAGGCGGUACCGACAGAAGAAGCACCGGCUAACUCCGUGCCAGCAGCCGCGGUAAUUC
rnacentral:rRNA from 1 species